rnacentral:lncRNA from 1 species
AACUCGUUUGCAUCCGAAGUCUUGUAUAUGCAAUUCAUAUUUUGGUUCACAUACUCCGAAGCGUUGUAUAUGCAAUUCAUAUUUUGGUUCACAUACUCCGUUUCUUUUUCACUCAGUUACUUGGGCUCUUGCAGUGACAAUGACUGCGAUUCUUCUGUCAGCGUACUUGAUAAACUUUUGAACAACUAGUUGCCAUGGUCAGAUUAGCAAAUGGAUAAAUUUAAUAGGCUUUCAGAAACAUAUAUACCCAGCUCCUUUGCAGACUUGGAUAAAUCUAUGACAAUGUGUGGGUGUUGUCUCAAUUACCUGAGACGGAUUUUGAUAUCUUCUGUUUUGUGUAAAAAUAGGUAACUAUUGCGUACCUCUGCUGAGAUGUCAAAACACGAUCUUGAACAUCUAUUCAUCUUCUCGUCCGGAUGCAUUUUCAUCCGAAAUUUUUAUUGGGAUCAUCAUCUCACAAAACUUUGGAUGUUCUUCUGGCAAAACAUUAUUUGUACCUUGGAUUUGAUCAUCCUUUCAGUCAGUAGAGUAAGUCCUUUGCAACAGCUUCUGGUUUUUGCUGAUUGCGUGCUUGGGUCCAAGUUUUUUUUUUUUUUUUCAUUUCAUUUCCUAAUUGGGGAGGGAGUUCACUCAAUAUUGUAAUUCAAGGAAAAUAAGCUUGUAUGAUUGAUGAAUCUAGGUUUCAUGUCUUGAUAUAUAUAAACUUGGCUGUUCAUCAAAGAGCCCUAACAAAUUGAGAUCUCUUGACCUUGCUAUUAGCUGAAGGCAUUGAUAUAAGUUGGGGUAUUGUGUAUCAUUAUCUGUAUGUAUAUAUAUAUAUAGGGGUCAGGUUACAUAAUUCUCUUAUCAUCUGCUUGGUUCAGUUAUACUGAAAACUGCAUGAACAUUAUCCAAGCUGAUAUCUUCAUGACAUUCAAUUCCCACACACAAGCUCAGAAAAUGUUUGAAACCAAUUAUUCUCAACAAUCUCUUAUAUUGAGAGUUUUAGUAAUUUUACGUCAAAAAUUUUUGUUGGUCGAGAUCAAAUGUUACCCUUGUGGGGAUUAGUAUCAAAUAUUCCGGAGAUGAGCUUCUUUUUGUACUCUGUAUAUGAAAAAUCUUGGAUAUAUGUAUCUUCCUCAACUUGGAAAUUUAAAACUUGACGGCUUGACAAGCUUGACGGCUUCGACCGUCGGGAGAUAGCUCAGGCGUAAGAGUCAGUACAGGCGAUUACAAGGUUAACAAUGGAGGAUAAAAUAUCUAGUGUAUUGAGAGAGAAAAAAAUAUCAGUUACCUUUACUUGGACGACCUCCUUGCUAUGUUAUACUCUCUAGCCCGGUUUACCGUGCCACCCACUACCGUCAGACACUGCUCCCCACUACUCAGUGAUCGCAGCCAACAACAUGCCGACUGUCACCUUUUUCAUACUGUUUCUACCGCCGGCCGACUAUAAUCUCAUCCACAUUAAUGAUCUGCAGGCCACUCGGUCAACAGCCUUCCUUUUUCAUCAUUACAAGUCAAAGAUGGAGAUAUUAAAAUAUCUAGUGGGUUAGCCCACUCAAGUUGGCCCAAGUCUUUCAAGAUAUGUUCAUGAGGAUUAACUAAACUGGCCCAACUGACCAAGCCCAAUAGAGAUGACCCAAGAGAUUUAAUCAAAUGAACAGGCCCAAUCUACUCGGCCCAAUAUGUGAAAUAUCAUGACCUAACAUUGCCCCCUAGUUUUUUAUUCAACAAACUAUUUAAUAGAAAACUAUAAAUUACCCAUGAUAUGAAGAAUUUAAUAAAAUCAAAAGAUGCCCAAAUUAAACUUUAUCAAGGCCCAAACGGUAAGGAAGUAGAAUGAUAGGAUAAAUUGAAACCGGAAACCCAACUGAAAGGCCCAAAAGUUUAAAAAUGAAGGAUUGAACCAAACGAUACCCUUUCAAAUUCAUGAUUAUGACUGUCAAUUAAAUGUGCCGCCCUCGUGUACCGUGUAACCGUCAGUAUAAAAAGUAAACUUCACCAAACUUGACAGUUUUACCUGCCAAUUUGAAAUUUAGACGCUUGAGCUCUCUUAUUCUCUCUCGAACGUUUCUUCCCUUCUCUGCAAAAUUUCAACAAUGGUGGUCCUUAAUACGAAUCAGAUCUCCCCAAUUCGGGCAACCCCUCAUACUGUCGUUCCACCUAACCCAGGUCCCAACGAAGAAGCUUCGAGUUCUAACCCUCAAGCUGCGAAAUCAAGCACGAAUCCACCUCCAAACCUACUCCCUAUGAAUUCUUCAGAAGUAAGGAGCGUUUUUCACACGCCAAUACCCCUUCUGAAAUAACAGAGAUUGGUUUAAAGAAAAUCCGUACUCGAUAUCAAAUCUCUGAUACCAUCAGGUGAGAGCUCCACGGUCUGAAGAGCGAAUGUAUCAACGACCGGAAGGUUGGACGGCCGUUCCAGUGACCCUUCUGGAGAAAGGGGUUCGAUUCCCUUUGCACAUUUUCUUGAUUACCUUUCUAGGGUUUAUCGGCGUUGGAUUUGCCCAGUUGGUGCCGAACUCCUACAUUCAUAUCAUCGCCUUCAUCGCUUUUUGCCACGAAGUAGGAGUAGAGCCCACUCUUGACUUCUUCUUCACUAUUUACAAGAUUGGCCAAACCCGGGAAAAAGGGUUUAAGGCUUUGAGCAAAUUACCAUCGAAGUCAGGUGAGAAGUUCGAAAGACGCUCUCUAAUCAAUACUCCUUCCAGCAAUAGAGGAUGGCAUAAAGGGUGUUCUUCAUCAAAGGACCAGAAAUUGCUUCCUUACCGGGUUGGGUCACUGAAGAUGUAGUUUCUGCUGACUUCGGUGACAUCCCGGAAGAACGCGCAAGUGAAAUGAUAGAGCUGUUUAAAAACUUCCCAUCGAAAGAAUGGAAUUACUUGCUUCUUACUAAGCAAGCCUAGUUAUAUGAGCACAAAUGUAAGUUUUGAAUUAUUUGAUUGCACAAUUGUCUGAAAUUUUUAUUGAUAUAGAUUUUGACAUGUGACUUUCUGUUUUUCGUAGUAUCUUUGAUUAAACCGUCUUCUAUAGACGUGAGAUUAGCAAAUGGAUAAAUUUAAUAGGCUUUCAGAAACAUAUAUACCCAGCUCCUUUGCAGACUUGGAUAAAUCUAUGACAAUGUGUGGGUGUUGACUCAAUUACCUGAGAUGGAUUUUGAUAUCUUCUGUUUUGUGUAAAAAUAGGUAACUAUUGCGUACCUCUGCUGAGAUGUCAAAACACGAUCUUGAACAUCUAUUCAUCUUCUCGUCCGGAUGCAUUUUCAUCCGAAAUUUUUAUUGGGAUCAUCAUCUCACAAAACUUUGGAUGUUCUUCUGGCGAAACAUUAUUUGUACCUUGGAUUUGAUCAUCCUUUCAGUCAGUAGAGUAAGUCCUUUGCAACAGCUUCUGGUUUUUGCUGAUUGCGUGCUUGGGUCCAAGUUUUUUUUUUUUUUUUCAUUUCAUUUCCUAAUUGGGGAGGGAGUUCACUCAAUAUUGUAAUUCAAGGAAAAUAAGCUUGUAUGAUUGAUGAAUCUAGGUUUCAUGUCUUGAUAUAUAUAAACUUGGCUGUUCAUCAAAGAGCCCUAACAAAUUGAGAUCUCUUGACCUUGCUAUUAGCUGAAGGCAUUGAUAUAAGUUGGGGUAUUGUGUAUCAUUAUCUGUAUGUAUAUAUAUAUAUAGGGGUCAGGUUACAUAAUUCUCUUAUCAUCUGCUUGGUUCAGUUAUACUGAAAACUGCAUGAACAUUAUCCAAGCUGAUAUCUUCAUGACAUUCAAUUCCCACACACAAGCUCAGAAAAUGUUUGAAACCAAUUAUUCUC